AAAGUAGUACUGUUUAUAAUGUUACACGUUUAAACCAUAAUCCAGUGAUGUAUACAACGGAAUGCUAUGUGGAUAUUCCUGAAGAUGUUUUGACUCCAGGUCAUUUAGAUUAUAACAUUUCGAUAUGGCCAGAUGUAAACAUGAACGACGUAAUCCUUAAAGCUGGAUUAAUCGUAAAAGGAAACAUUACACUGGAACAACCAAAGCUAAGUUUUGCGAACUGUCCAGUUACUAUAGAAGUAGGAAAAUACCACCACUGCAUUUGUUCACGGGAUGAUAAUUCAGACAUCAAAACAUGGAUUUAUUGGACUACUCGCACAAAGUAUACAACGAACUUUGAUAGAACAGCGGUAUUGCGAGAAUUUAAAACAAACAUCGAUCCCGUUGAAUACACCUGCACUGCUAAAAACGAGCUUGGAUGGAUGACGAUUGUAAAAUAUCAUCCUGUAAUAAAAAGCA